AAUGCCUUACUAUAGAUCGGUUCUAGCGGGAACCAGCCGCUAGAAGUAAUAGGGAAAGUUCGGUGCAAGUCCGGCGCUGUUCCGCAACUGUAAUGAGGCGCAAUCUCUAAGUCAGGAUGCCUACCGAUAGAAAAACUCUAUA
rnacentral:ncRNA from 2 species